UUUUUCUUUUUUUUUUCUUUUUAGGGCUCCCUGGCUAGGGGUCAAAUUUAAGCUGUAGGCCCUAGCCUACACCACAUACACAGCAACACAGGAUCUGAGCCACACAUGCAACCUACACCAUAGCUCACAGCAAUGCCAGAUCCUUAAUCCACUGAGUGGGGCCUGGGAUCGAACCCACAUCCUCAUGGAACCUAGUUGGGUUCAAUACUGCUGGGCCACAAUGGGAACUCCUCAUGUCUCUUUUUAAUAAAACUGACUGUGGACAAAUGCUAAGGUGAAUAGUCCUCUACUGCUUCCGAAUCACAUCAAGUUUGAGGAGCUUUCAUGAACUGGGAAAGAGUUAAAAAGUCAUGAACAAAUAUUUUUGAGCCCUGAUUAUAUGCCCAGGCUAUGAUCCAGGGGAACAUAAUGCCUGGGGAGUAGUGAUGGUGAAGAAGAACUUCCCUGAGGAGGAGACUGUUAAUCUGAGGAAGGAAGAGUGUGUUGGUGCCAAAAAGAGCAGAAGCCUGGUAGGCGGAGCAACUGUGUGAUGACUCAAGGAAAAGGGCUUUGUGUGUUCAAGGGUCUCUAGAAAGCUUAAUUGGGCCAAAAAGAAGACUAUGAUAUGAGAGGAACAAGAAGUAAGUCUAGGCUAAUUCUUGCUAGGUCUUAAAAGAAUAUUAAGAAGUUUGGGAUUUAUCCUAAGGACAAUAGAAAAUUAAUAAAGGGACCUAGUUGAGGAACUUUGUAACUCAUAAUUAGGUUUUCAAGAGAUUCUACUACUAGGAGGAUAAUGGAUCAAAGGUGACAGGAGAGAGGCAAUAUUAGAUGUAGGAGACCAAUUAUAAGACUAUUGUGUAUUGAUUGUAUUAUUCCAGACAAAAGAUGAUGGAGACAUAUACCAAGGUGGUGCCACCAGAGAAGGAAGGGAGGAGAUGGAACCAUGGGGACUUUUAGAUGUAGAAUUAGCGGGACUGGGUGACUGGAUGUGCAAUUUGAUAAAGAGACAGUGGGGGUCAAGGAUGAACACAUGUUCUCAGGAAUGCCCACGAGAAACAGAGGAGGAUCAGGGAUUCUUCCCUGGGAAAGUAGAGUUCUGGGUGCUGUAAGAAAUCCAAAUGGGAAGGCUAAAUGGGCAGUUAAAUCUAGACGUUGUGAACUUGGACAUAGCUUUAGGCUGGAGAUACACAUAGUAAUGGAAGAUUCGAGAAUGUUAGGGCUUGUUCAGGAGGUGAGCAGAAAAAGACUACUGGACAGAGGCCCAAGAAACUCCAAUUCCCUAUUGCCGUUUGGAGGAGCGUGACCCCAAACUGGAAACUAGUGUGGUCAGAGAAAUACAAGAAAAAAAAUCAAAAACAAGAGGAAGGCCAAAUGAAAUGAUUGUUUCAAGAAAAACCAAAACCAAAACCUCUCUGUGGAAUGAGGCUAAGAGAUAACAAUGAAAUGAGGACUGAAAAAAUAUACUUUAGUAAUAUUUACUUUUAAAAGUGUACUUGUUAGUAAUGUUUAAAUUAAUAGUGAUUUGGUGAGAACUAUUUUAGUGAAAUGGUAAAAGAAGGUUAAAUAAGGAAUGAAAAGGGAGAAACCACAGGAAAUGAUUAUGAACAAACCUGUGAAAUUUUGGUGCGGAAAGGAAAAGCAUUAGGGUAGUAAUUGGAAAGGGUAGUUAGUCUUGAAGGAGGAAUACAUACAUAAUACAUGCAUGCAUGCAUACAUAUCUGCUACAUACAUGUAAAGAACAGGUGCACAUAUUUGACUGAUGAUGGAGAAGAAAGAUAACUAAGCAUGCUAAGUUCCUAAGCAGGUCAUUAAAAUGAUGAAAAGAGAAAACUGAGUAUUUUUGUAGAUUUCAAGACUGGAAGUUGAGACCAAUUUCAUCUGAAGGCUUCUGUUUUCCUGAGAAUUUGGAGGGUUACCUGAGGUGAUCUGCUGAGAGGGAAUGGGGGUAAGGAGACAUGAAGUUUUGGAGGAAAAUAGAAAAAUGAUUAUUGUGAGGAAGCAUGCACAAUGACUAUCAUGAUAAGGUAGUUCUUUCAAUCCAUUCUAAGGGCUCAGUGAGAAUGCUGAGCACAUAUUCAUAGUGAUGUCAAUUUACCCAAUAAUGGGAGUUUCCCCAGCUGUACUUAUCAGUGUAAGAAAUAUGGAUAGCUGGAUUCUUGGCAAUUGGUUGGUUAUCUACCAGGGAGAAGCAAUGAAAGGACAAAAGAGCAAGGGAUACUAUAUGAUCAAAAUGAAUAGGAAUAAAAUUAAAGAAAGAAGAUGACACCAGGAAAGGUGGAGUCCUUGAUUUAUUUCCCUUCAGAAAAUACACACACACACACUCUAUCUUAUUUAUUCUCCUAUAUUACUUGUCUUCUAUACGUACUUCUGUGUAAUAUGAAAUAGACACAAGAAAACUUAAAAAACCCCAAAUCUAGGAUUUACCCAAUAUCUCUCUUCAUAUCCACUCACUAACCGGAAGAAUCAGCACUUCCCUUAUAUGUCCGGUUCUUUCCAAUCAUAUCUGCUUAAGUCCCCCUAUAAGCAGACACCAAUCCCAAACCAAUGCAGUAGAGGCAGCUAUUGUAUGUGCUUCUUUCUAAAUCCUGAGCCCUUUCUUCUGGCUAUUGUUCCUUGUCUCUAUCCUGAGUGAUUUCUGGUUUUCACCCACUCCCUGAUCCAUGGUUUGAGGCCCAUAGGCUCAUCUGCUUCUCUGGUACAUCAGUCUUUAUUUGCAUUGCUAUUGCUGCUUCUUUUUAUACUUAAUUUAUGGAUAUGCUAAUAGGAUUUAGAUAGGAAAGAAACCUCCCCCUUAUUUCUUUCUCUAGACUAUUGCCCCCAAAUUUCUUUUUGCAGACCAUCCAGAAAGGGUAUGAAGGAGAGAGUGGAAAGUUGGGUGGGUGAGUGAAUGAAUCAUUUUUUUGGUAUUUUGGGAUGUUUUAGGGUGUGGUGAUUCUACCAAUGAUGCUAAAAUCACCUUAAACCCAUUGCUCCUGAGACUUAAACAUGAAAAUGUAUGAUAUUUCAAUACAAUAGUUCCGAAGGGAGAUUUCUAAUAAUCAUGAUUUGUUUUAAAAGAAAAUGCAUGAUCUCUCUUAUUACUGAGCUCAUGAGAUGAUAUUAAUUGCUUUAUUGCCUAGAUAAGAGUCCUGGAUCACAAUGGCAGGGAAGGAAACUAGAAGAAGUAGCCAUUUUUUUUACCCUUCU
ensembl:lncRNA